rnacentral:rRNA from 1 species
UGGGGAAUAUUGCACAAUGGAGGGAACUCUGAUGCAGCGACGCCGCGUGAGUGAUGAAGGAAUUCGUUUCGUAAAACUCUGUUCUAUGGGAAGAAAAGGACUGUACCAUAGGAGAAAGCUCCGGCUAAAUACGUGCCAGCAGCCGCGGUAAUACGUAUGGAGCGAGCGUUGUCCGGAAUUAUUGGGCGUAAAGGGUGCGCAGGCGGCUUUACAAGUUGGAUGUGAAAUAUUGUGGCUCAACCACAAACGUGCAUCCAAAACUGCAAAGCUUGAGUUAAGGAGAGGUAAGUGGUAUUCCUGGUGUAGCGGUGGAAUGCGUAGAUAUCAGGAGGAAUACCGGUGGCGAAGGCGACUUACUGGACUUAAACUGACGCUCAGGCACGAAAGCGUGGGGAGCAAACAGG